UACGGAGGGGGCCAGCGUUGUUCGGAAUCAUUGGGCGUAAAGGGCGCGUAGGCGGCCACGCAAGUCGGAUGUGAAAUCCCUCGGCUCAACCGAGGAACUGCAUCCGAAACUGCGAGGCUCGAGUCCUGGAGAGGGUAGUGGAAUUCCCAGUGUAGCGGUGAAAUGCGUAGAUACUGGGAGGAACACCGGUGGCGAAGGCGGCUACCUGGACAGGUACUGACGCUGAUGCGCGAAAGCCAGGGGAGCAAACAGG
rnacentral:rRNA from 2 species